ACACUUGUUUAAUGACUUUGGAUAUCAAUUGUCUGGAGGCUUUUUCCCCCGAAAAUAUUGCAGAAUUUAAUGACAAAUCUCUUUGGACGUGAUCCGCCAAACGUGUAUGCUGUAAGAACAAUAAAAUAUUGGAAAUUAUUGAAAUCGUAAAAGAUUGAAUAGCUUCAUUGACUUAAGAUCAAAUUAAAUGGAGCCUAAAAGAUUGAAGCAUUCGUGUGAUUUUCGGUACUUAUAGACAAAAAGUUUAUGUACCAACCCCCGAAGUUGAAAACGUCUUUUUUCGGUUAGGUUUUUGAACCUCUGUGAUAAUAUUAUAUAAGUAUAUUUUAUUUUACGUCGAGAUGGCGCAAUGGUUGUAAGUUUAAGUAGAACCCAAGUACAGAUAUUUUGAAGAAAGUGAAAAAACAACAGUUCUAAGAUAAAAUAAAAGCGAGAAACCGUAGUCAUGUGAUACAAACUGAAUAAUGCAAUAUUUCUGUUAUACAUACUUGAUAAUAAUUUGGUGAUGGCGGAUACAAUCAAUAAAAUUAUUUUUAAAGAUAGAAAAACCAUACAUCCAAAGUUGACUGAUAUUGUCGUAACGUACAAAAAAACAAGAAAUAUGGAUUGCACUAAAUACACAAUUCCAUAUACUUUGAGUGUCUCAAUUUUGAUUAUCUGAAAUAAACCACAU